rnacentral:rRNA from 1 species
UACGCAGGCGGCUCGUUAAGUCGGGUGUGAAAGCCCGGAGCUCAACUCCGGAAAUGCGCCCGAUACUGGCGGGCUUGAGUACAGGAGAGGGAAGCGGAAUUCCUGGUGUAGAGGUGAAAUUCGUAGAUAUCAGGAGGAACACCAGUGGCGAAAGCGGCUUCCUGGCCUGAUACUGACGCUCAUGUACGAAAGCGUGGGGAGCAAACA